rnacentral:sRNA from 1 species
AGCAGCCGCGGUAAUUCCAGCUCCAAUAGCGUAUAUUAAAGUUGUUGCAGUUAAAAAGCUCGUAGUUGAAUUUCGGGGUUAGUAGGUUGGUCAUGCCUCUGGUAUGUACUGGUCUCACUGAUUCCUCCUUCCUGAUGAACCGUAAUGCCAUUAAUUUGGUGUUGCGGGGAAUUUGGACUGUUACUUUGAAAAAAUUAGAGUGUUUAAAGCAAGCUAACGCUUGAAUACAUUAGCAUGGAAUAAUGAAAUAGGACGUUCGAUCCUAUUUUGUUGGUUUCUAGGAUUGACGUAAUGAUUAAUAGGGAUAGUUGGGGGCAUUAGUAUUCAAUUGUCAGAGGUGAAAUUCUUGGAUUUAUUGAAGACUAACUACUGCGAAAGCAUUUGCCAAGGAUGUUUUCAUUAAUCAAGAACGAAAGUUAGGGGAUCGAAGACGAUCAGAUACCGUCGUAGUCUUAACCAUAAACUAUGCCGACUAGGGAUC